rnacentral:rRNA from 1 species
CCUACGGGAGGCAGCAGUAGGGAAUCUUCCGCAAUGGACGAAAGUCUGACGGAGCAACGCCGCGUGAACGAUGAAGGCCUUCGGGUCGUAAAGUUCUGUUGUUAGGGAAGAACAAGUGCUAGUUGAAUAAGCUGGCACCUUGACGGUACCUAACCAGAAAGCCACGGCUAACUACGUGCCAGCAGCCGCGGUAAUACGUAGGUGGCAAGCGUUGUCCGGAAUUAUUGGGCGUAAAGCGCGCGCAGGCGGUUUCUUAAGUCUGAUGUGAAAGCCCCCGGCUCAACCGGGGAGGGUCAUUGGAAACUGGGAAACUUGAGUGCAGAAGAGGAAAGUGGAAUUCCAAGUGUAGCGGUGAAAUGCGUAGAGAUUUGGAGGAACACCAGUGGCGAAGGCGACUUUCUGGUCUGUAACUGACGCUGAGGCGCGAAAGCGUGGGGAGCAAACAGGAUUAGAUACCCUGGUAGUCCACGCUGUAAACGAUGAGUGCUAAGUGUUAGAGGGUUUCCGCCCUUUAGUGCUGAAGUUAACGCAUUAAGCACUCCGCCUGGGGAGUUACGGUCGCAAGACUGAAACUUAAGGAAUUGACGGCUGAGACGNGCGAGACGACGACGAGGGAGAGG